UACGGAGGGUGCAAGCGUUAUCCGGAUUUACUGGGUUUAAAGGGUGCGUAGGUGGGUAGUUAAGUCAGGGGUGAAAUCUUCGGGCUUAACCCGGAAACUGCCAUUGAUACUAUUUAUCUUGAAUACUUUGGAGGUAAGCGGAAUAUGUCAUGUAGCGGUGAAAUGCUUAGAUAUGACAUAGAACACCAAUUGCGAAGGCAGCUUACUACACAGUUAUUGACACUGAGGCACGAAAGCGUGGGGAUCAAACAGG
rnacentral:rRNA from 1 species